CGCGCAGCCGCACUCGUCGUCGUCUUCUUCGCAUGCGCGGCGGCGGUACGGCGCGCCUCGUGUUCCCUGUUUGUGUCUCCAGCGGCUGGAAUGAUUGAGAGCCGACUGAUUGAUUGACGGCAGGGGGCUAUUUCUGGGUCAGCGUGUCAGGUUUAUGACUAAGGUGCCAGGCUGAUUUUGUGAUGCCUGAGAUGGCCCGAACAACUUCUGUUCCUAUUUAAACGACUUAACACUUCAAAACGAAAGGAUGAAGGUGCUCCAUAUACAAUUCAUCACAGCACCAGAGGGUUGAAGAGGCCUGGAAUAAAAGCAGUGUAUUACCAGCGGCACUCCAGGGGGAAAGGAAUCUUCCCCCUCGUACAGAAGGAACACAGUCAACAAGGUGAAGGUUGAAACUCAGUGUUACCUUAAAUGCUCCUGUGAUUUGAAUAGGUUUGAGAC